GAUUUAAAAAAGAAAUUCUGUUUCUAUUUAAAAACCGAAUAUAUUUUGAUUUUAAAAAGUGUUUUAUUUUUGUUCCGAUUAUAAACUGAUUUGAAACGGAAACCCGUUUCAGAUUAUUAGAAACUGAUAUAUUUUGGUUACUAACUUGAAACAAAUUUAGAAACCGAAGUUGUUCAGUAUCUAAUUUUGGAACGAAAAUAUCAAUUUCAAAUUGGUUUCAGAAUUAGAAACGGACGUCAUAUUCCGUUUUUAAUUUAUUUAGAAACCUACGAAUUGUAAACCGACUAUUUCGAUUUCAAAUCGAUUUCUAACUGAAAUUAAAAAUCAAUUUUGAAUGUUUUGAAACCGAAUUUUUGGUUACUAAUAUUCUUUUUUCUUGUAGUGCUUAGUAUUCCUCAUAAGCCUAUGGCUAUUGAGAUGAACAAUAUAUUAAUUGUAUGAUAUGACUGUAUGUUUUUAUAAAAUAUGUUUUGUGACUUCUGAAGUGAAAAAUUAUUUGAUUAAAAUUUUAAAUUGUGUUUUGUAUCUGUGUACCAUUUUCAGACCAUAUUGGAAUAAUUGUGAUUUAAAUUAUGCAUAAAUUAGUAUUUUUAGUAUGUUGUGCACCACUGAAUCCUAGUACUCAGCGAUGCCUGUUAUUGCUGUCGCAGAUAUAGAGACUAGAGGAGCAGCAGAGUGAGCUGCUGAGGAUUGAGGAGCUACCUACUUUGAAGUUAUAGGGUAUAUUUUAUACCCUGAAUGUAAAAACUAUUUUGAUAUAUGUAAAUGUAUGUAACUGUAUGGACAUGUAAAAUUGGUUAUGAGCAGUUGUAUAAAGUUGUAUAGAGUUGUAUAAAGCUUGUAAUAAAUUUUGGUUUGGAUUUCUCUUAAUGUAAAUUUUUGUAAUGAUGUAUAUAAAUUGUUUUAUCUUUAAUGAAAUAUGAAUGAAUGAAAUUGAUUGACA
rnacentral:misc_RNA from 1 species